rnacentral:misc_RNA from 1 species
AAGUCGUAACAAGGUUUCCGUAGGUGAACCUGCGGAAGGAUCAUUAUCAACGUAUCCACGUUAUACCAACCGUGAACCCUUCUUUGCCUCUGGCUGGUGUGGUGAGUGGGAUUGGGUUUAAAUGACACUGGCGUUGAGUGACUAAGACUUGGAAACUCGUCUUUUUCCCUCUGGGACUCUCUUUAGUUGUGCAUUUGAAGAGUACCGUUCAAUGUUGUUUGCCUUUUCUCCUCGAUUCAAUUCGUACCAUGCUGGCCAGAGCGUAGUUUCAAAUCCCGCACUGUUUUUUUUACCAUUUGAACAAAACUUUUGAUUAUUUGAACUGACUUGUAUUUCUUUCUCCUUUGCAGGAGAAGAAAUCGAAAAUUACGAAACAAAAAACAACUCUUAGCAACGGAUAUCUUGGUUCUC